UUUGAGAUGGGUAUAAUUAGAAGUGUAUGAUUUAGGUUAUUAUUUCUUUGUUAUUAUUGUGGUUUACCUAAGUUGUGAGAUAUGAUAUGGGCAAGUUAAAGCUCUUUAUUUUAUAUUUUACUCCGCUUAUUUUAGUUGCUGAGUAACCGGAAAUUUUCAUGAUCAAUGUUGAUUGUCGCGUAAAAAAAUAAUUAAAAUUA
rnacentral:lncRNA from 1 species